rnacentral:rRNA from 1 species
GACGAACGCUGGCGGCGUGCUUAACACAUGCAAGUCGAACGGUGAAGCUCCACUUUGCUGGUGCGGAUCAGUGGCGAACGGGUGAGUAACAUGUGAGCAACCUGCCUUUUAUUCUGGUAUAACUGCUGGACUCGGCGUCUUACACUGGAUACGCGUAGUGUCCGCGUGGGCGCUUUCUGGUUAGUUUUUCGGUUGGGGAUGGGCUCGCCGUCUAUCAGCUUGGUGGUGAGGUUAUCGCACACCAAGGCGACGACGGGUAGCCGGCCUGAGAGGGCGACCGGCCACACUGGGACUGAGACACGGCCCAGACUCCUACGGGAGGCAGCAGUGGGGAAUAUUGCACAGUGGGCGAAAGCCUGAUGCAGCGACGCCGCGUGAGGGAUGACGGCCUUCGGGUUGUAAACCUCUUUCAGCGGGGAAGAAGCGAAAGUGACGGUACCUGCAGAAGAAGCACCGGCUAACUACGUG